rnacentral:rRNA from 1 species
UACGGGGGGGGCAAGCGUUGUUCGGAAUUACUGGGCGUAAAGGGCUCGUAGGCGGCCAACUAAGUCAGACGUGAAAUCCCUCGGCUUAACCGGGGAACUGCGUCUGAUACUGGUUGGCUUGAAUCCGGGAGAGGGAUGUGGAAUUCCAGGUGUAGCGGUGAAAUUCGUAGAUAUUCGGAAGAACACCAGUGGCGAAGGCGACACACUGGCCCGUUACUGACGCUGAGGCUCGAAAGCGUGGGGAGCAAACAGG